GGACGGUUCUUCAGAAACAGCUCGUCAAGCACCUCCGUAGCUUGCUAGCGAACAUAGUCGAAAGAUUCAAGCUAUUUAUACGCUUUCGUUGUAUAUUAGCUACUGUGUUUUAUACACACUUCUAUCGUAUCUACUCGUUAACCCAUUUAAUUUAAUAUGACGUUAUUUUGUAUUAGUCAGAUAUAGUAGCUGGCUGGUUAAGUUAGCACUAGCCUAGUCGCUAAUGAUAGCUAGCUAGCUAACAUCCCAGAACAUGAGCUCCCUAAACUACUCUCCUGCUAAAGAAGAGGAGGUCUGCUGGACGGAGAAAGAAGCUCUGGGGCUGAACAUUGUCGUGAAAGAGGAGAAGGAAGAGGAGGAUGUCACAGUAAAACAAGUAGAGGGUGAGGCUGUUAGAGUGAAAGAAGAGGAUGUCGUUUUUGGUGUGAAAAAGAGGUUGGAGAUCUGUUUAACACCAGAGAGAGACGUGACUAUAGUGGAUCCUCUGGGGAGCUUCAACAACAUCAUGAUGCUGACGAGGCAGAGAAGAGUCUCCAGAUCAGGACACCUCAAGAAACCCCAGCAGAGACCCACAGGGAAGAAAUCUCACCACUGCUCUGACUGUAUGAUCCUGUUUGUUUGUUCCUUUUGUAGUUUUACUUAGUUUUCACUCAGUCAUAUUCACACAGAUUCAUGCAUCCCUGCACUUUACAUACACCUUACAUUAUGAUACUUUCACACCUCAUACCUUUUUCUUUGUUUAAAGUUAAUAGUUUUGGUUUACAAUAAAGAACCUUUUUG
ensembl:lncRNA